AUAUAUAUGAUUUUAAGAGCAUCC
rnacentral:siRNA from 1 species